GAUGAAGAACCGUAGCGAAAUGCGAUAAGUAAUGUGAAUUGCAGAAUUCAGUGAAUCAUCGAAUCUUUGAACGCACAUUGCGCCCCUUGGUAUUCCGAGGGGCAUGCCUGUUCGAGCGUCAUUAUAACCCUCAAGCUCAGCUUGGUGUUGGGGCCUGCUGCACUGGCAGCCCUUAAAAUCAGUGGCGGCGCCAUCUGGCUCUAAGCGUAGUAAUUCUUCUCGCUAUGGAGUCCUGGUGGAUGCUUGCCAUCAACCCCCAAUUUUUCUAUGGUUGACCUCGGAUCAGGUAGGGAUACCCGCUGAACUUAAGCAUAUCAAUAGCGAGGA
rnacentral:misc_RNA from 1 species